rnacentral:lncRNA from 1 species
UGAUUUCGUAUUUCCUUUCUUGCAACCAAUCAUGAACAAGGAUUUAAUACCGAUAUAAUCAUCUUUUCGAUUUCGGAAACUACGCAACUUACGGAAACAAGAUUAUUUCCAUAAUUUACGAGGUCUUAGAAUAUUAUAAAUAACCACCCUUCACAACCUGUUUUGAUCACCCUCACACAAUCAUCACACCUUCCGUAUCACCUACACCCUUGCCGGAGAAACCAAGCACGUCGCCGGAGUUCGAAGUUUCGCCGGAGAAGUUCGAAGCCAACGAGGAUCGUGCCAUCUCAUGUUCGGAUAAUUGCUUUGCUCGUUCUCUUGGAUUUUUCUCAAUCUUUACUCGUGCGUUAUCUCAAGGAAUCUCCAAACGCAACCAAUGUUGAUAGACAAGAUGAUGAAGAAG